AGAACUCAGAAGCAGCUAAGUGGCUGUAAAGUCCAGCUGUGUGUCUAUAACCAGCUUGCUCGGGGAGGGAAGUGUGUCCACAGCUCUUAUAGUGCAUGCUGCUCCUGCCUCUGACUGUGUGUCCAAUGAACUCACAUAGUUUCACGUGCACUGGCCUCACAGCGAUGAGUGUGUGUGUGUGUGUGUGUGUGUGUGUGUGUGUGUGUUUAAGAUGCAGAUGGCAGCCUGCAAAGGCAUGUUCCCUCAGGAGGCCUGGGAUGGGGCCCAGGCGUGUGAAUUUCCAACAUGCUCCCUCUGCCGUUGCUGGUCUCAGCCCACACUUUGAGUGGCAGGUGCUCAGCAUUCUAUACACAUCAUUCAGUUGCCACGGAUACUUUGUCAUUGUUUUCUGCUACAUCUCUUGACACCCCCUGCUUCUGUCACUGUGUGCAUUCUAUUCUCCUGCACUUGCUUUCCUCCUCUCCGCCAUAUAAGGCUUCAAUGUCCCCUUUUCCUUCUAUGUUAUUCCCAUCACUCUGUCUUUUUCAGAGUUGAAGUGGCUACAAACAGCCUCACACUUGGUCUCUUAAGGAGGAAUUUGCAUCCAGAGAUGGAGAAACAACAAAAGGAAACAGACAAAACUGCCAAUCUACAGAACAAGGUUCUAAGACAGGAAGUUGAGGCACUCAGCACCAAUCAGGGGAGAGAGGUUUUCCGCCUACUUGUGCCCUCACUGCUGAGGUCUUAGUGGAAAGGUAAAAAUCCCUGACACUUAUAGGAACUUUGGGAAGAGGUUACAAUAUGCGGCAGAAAUCUAUGGAGACUCUCACUUAUCUUGCUACCAAAUGGGAGGCUCAAGAACAAAACAUGUCAUGUCCAGUGCAUCCUGAAGCCCGCAUGCCCCAUUGGAUUCAGGAAGGCUGAGGUGGGACUCAGGUACUGAUUUUCUUUGAAGCCACCACAAUUGAGAAUAGUGGCCCAGAGAAUGGGAGAUAGUGUGGGGCAAGCUGCCUCCUCAACUCCAGAUUGCCCGGCAGAGAACACAAAUGCACUUCCACAGGUGCUCACAACUAAUAUUUCUGUUUAGAAAAACUAUUUCCUACAUGACUUUAGAAAAAUACAUUCCUCAACAGAGGGAUCUUCAUUUCCCUCCAGGCUUCAUUGCAGCCCAGUCGAUGGUGGGCUUUGCAGGAAGUGCAGGCUCGGCUUGCUGUGGGGAAAGGGUAUCUGAUGAGGAAUGAGCAUCAGAUUGCAGAGGAGCAGCUGCAGUUCGUGGGGAAAUGAUUACCAUUUCAAAUGUCACUCAGCUUGAUGUGUACGGGGAGGGAGCGUGAGGCACCUCUUGUCUGGGCUGCAGGCUGAUACAAAAGUGGAAAUCUGUUCUCCCAGACUGGUGUAAGGCUUUGUCAUAAGCAAUGCCUGUCACCUCUCCAGCCACUGUCCCCAACACACCCAAGGAGCCUGAAGCAUUUAGCUUCAAUUACAGACAUCAUUUGUUGUUUCUGGGAUGCUCACGACAUUAAUAAACUGUUUUUUCUUUUUGGAGACUUUGAUUGAAGUGUAUGGUGGAUAAAUAACAUUUAUCUAUUUCCUGUUCAUUCCUAUGUUGUGUACACCAGCGCUACAGGAACAGAAACACCUGAACUUCAGAUUUCCAGAGCAGCCAGAUAUGGUGUUUCAUUAAGGCCUCCGAGGGCACUGCACCACCGCUGGAGUUUCUGCUCAGCUUGAUACACUGAACUGCCAGCCUCUUUGUGUGCAUAGGGAAAUGGGGGACCUUUUAGAAGGGGCAGGGGCAGGUCCUACAGGAAAGGAAGACCUUCAUGGAGGAGAGUGGCCAGCUAGGGUCCUCUGGGAGGACAGCAUGUAGUUGAGCCAGGCCAGCAAAGGGAUGGGGACAUGUUGAGGACAUUCUCAUGCAGAGCUGGAGUGUCCCUUGCUGACAUGGUACAUUUGUGGUUCCCAUCCAGCUGGUCCCAGAGCAGAACUUCUGCCAAUGGCAGCAGAGCUCAUGGUGAUAAUAGCAGCUCUAGGGUAGACAGAAUUGGGCUUGAGUCCCAACUUGGUCCUCAAGCAUCUUGAUCACAGUGAGUACCGUGGCCCUUGGCCUUCCCUACAAUGAUGAGGAUUCCAUGAGAUAACAAUGACACACCAAGAACUUAAUCAUGUUACAUAUUAGUACAAAGCAAAAGUGACUUCCUACUAUAAAGGGGUCACUGGCACAGGUCUGGAGAAAAGUUUUGGUUGCCCCCUGCUGGGACUGAGGGGAUGCUUAGAGAAGCCAUAACAGCAGUGGGAAGGGUAGAGGGGCCACUUAUAGUUGUACAGAAGUACUUCAGUGUUUUGUACACUGGAACAGCUGCAUUGGUCCAAAGGGGGUGCAUUUCAACCUUGGUACCAUGAGUUGUGAAUCGAACGGUCUGUUUUGUGUCAGCUCUCUGCUCAGACUGGAAAGGAUUCCCAUAUGGAGAGAGAUAUAACCCCAGGUUUGUGAUGCAAUCAUUCAUUCAUACCCUAGAAGGUUUUGGUGAGAUCCUCUGGGUGAUUCACAAAUGCUAAGCAGUAUGUUAUACAUCAAGGGACAAAGGGGCACAGGAAAUGCCUCAGUCCACAGUGAGGAGGGCAGGUAGGUAAACAGGCUCACAUUCAAUGUUCAACAUUCAAGUAAAUCAAAACCGUACAGAUGAUAGAGGAGAAGAAUCUGCAGGGCAGGGGGGACUUGGAGACAACUCCAGAGACACCAGAGCUUUAGAAAAAAAGUCCAACUUUAGUUCUACAGACAACACCAGAAUUAAAUUCUACUUGUGAAAAAUAGAAAGUUUGGAGAUAAAUCUAAAGACCUCUGAGGAUGUUUAACUCAAUCUUCAACCCCAUAGACAGCCACAAUUAUUAGUAUGACAUGAGUUUUUUUAGUUCAUUGUCCUAGAAAAUAGUAAUUGUCAGUUUGCAAGUGUAUUUGUGUAUGUCUAUGAAUGUUUACAUAAAUGGUAUUAUAUUGUCAAAUCAACACCGAACUUGAUUUUUGUUUCCAGAGCUAUGCCCAGGAGACUGUUCCAUGAGGCACAUAAAGAACCACGGAUUUUCCAGUCCCCUGCAAAGUAGCUCAUUGUGGCUCUGUAACUUGUACACCUUUUCUCCUGUGGGUGGACUGGAUGCUUAUAUAAAUUUUGACUUUUCAUUUUAUAAACAGUACUACAGAAUUCCGGCAGUGGCAGAGGAUAGAGAAAUCCAGGACCUAUCUCAAUGCUCCAUGCGAAAGCCCUGUGGAAAGUUGCUUCUCCUAGUGUGGCUCGUGAUGGUUUUGCACAUUCAGAUUUGAGGAUUGUGGAUGCCCAAGAUUGCAUAAGGGAGGAGUCUGGAUCCCUGAGUCACAGUUUGGAGGACAGCCACUCACGGGACCCAGCUGAACAGACCCUCUGGCAUGGGAUUUUAUGGAAGGGAAAAGGUUCAGAACUGGCCAGGUGAUGUUUUUAUUGGGAGGAAAGCUUGGAGAAUCAACAGGAGAAACAGAAAAGAACUUGCAGAACAACCCCUGGGCUACUGAGUUGAGAAAUUGGAGGCUUACUUUCCCACGCUGUCAAAUGGACUUCGGGAUUGACACAGCCUUGGUGUGUCUGCUUAUUAAAUAAUUGGGAGGAUGGGGUAGUUUUGAGAGUUUUCUAAUUUGAAAAUUGGGCUUUGGGCAGGUUGUGGAGUCAGGCAAUGUCUGGCCUGAAGCUCUCAAGGCUCGCAAGUGUGAAUGAGCUUGUUCUGUGGCCCUGGCUUUCACCUUGGGAGGAGAACACAGGGAGGCUCCUCUGGAGAGGUCUUGGCUUCUGCAGGUGCCGUUCUUUUUAAUUAGGGUGUGGGCUGAUGAGGCCAGCUCCACCCAGAGGCAUCGUGGGAAGGGGGUGAAACCCAUCUGACAUCAAACAAAUGGCUUUGGGUGAGAGCAUCUCCCAAAUUCAUAAUUGUGGGGCUCAUCGUGCCCAAAGGGAGCUUGAGAAUUUAGGAUGUGAUUCAGAAAGAUAUUUCCGACCUUCGCCGGAAAUGGGGAGAAAUCAGUUUUAUUUAUUAAUUCCAUCUUGCCAGCUCCCAAUUUGGUGCAAACAGUUAUGUUUUGCAGCACGUUUCCACCUUGCAACUAGCAGAGUUAAUUUAAUGAAAUGAGUAGUCUUGUGAUGACCUAAAGGGGGAAAACACAUUAAUCUGGAAACUAUCAAAGCCAUCUGACAUGUAUUAUUGUAGGACUCAGAAAAAAUAAACAGUUUAUGUAGAAGAUUAAGUGGCAGUGUGGAUUUGCUUUUGACAUAUCUUGUCUCCAAAUCUAAGCUGGGGAUUUAUUAUCACGCUAUCAUGUCACAGCUAUCUCAUUUAUAUGAUAACACAUCUGUAAUGUUUUACAAGUACAGCACUACUUGUUCGGAAUGGGGCUUUUUUAAGUCCUAAAUUAUAGUACCUGGAGAGGCAUGCAUAAUUAUAGUACGUGUUAGCAAAUGAGAGGGUGCAUUUUCCUCCCGCACUCAGAAUUAAUCGUCAGCACGGCGGGUGCAAUAAAAUCAUAAUUGCUUCUUCCAAACUCCUCAUCUGAGCUGUACAGGUUGAAGGCAGUGGUUGGGUGGAGAGAUGCCUCCUGCAUGGUGGGUGGAGGCCACACUGCCAUCUUCCAGCGGGUCGUUGGGUUGUAUGGCGGAGAUAGCUUUCUGUUCAG
rnacentral:lncRNA from 1 species